AGAAUCAACGCUGGCGGCGUACCUAACACAUGCAAGUCGAACGAGAAAGUGGAGCAAUCCAUUAGUAAAGUGGCGCACGGGUGAGUAACACGUGACUAACCUACCCUUGAGUGGGGGAUAACCUAGGGAAACCUGGGCUAAUACCGCAUAAUACCUUCGGGUCAAAGGAGCAAUUCGCUUAAGGAGGGGGUCGCGGCCGAUUAGUUAGUUGGCGGGGUAAUGGCCCACCAAGACGAUGAUCGGUAUCC
rnacentral:rRNA from 1 species